GAUGAACGCUGGCGGCGUGCCUAAUACAUGCAAGUCGAGCGAACAGAUAAGGAGCUUGCUCCUUUGACGUUAGCGGCGGACGGGUGAGUAACACGUGGGUAACCUACCUAUAAGACUGGAAUAACUCCGGGAAACCGGGGCUAAUGCCGGAUAACAUUUAGAACCGCAUGGUUCUAAAGUGAAAGAUGGUUUUGCUAUCACUUAUAGAUGGACCCGCGCCGCAUUAGCUAGUUGGUAAGGUAACGGCUUACCAAGGCAACGAUACGUAGCCGACCUGAGAGGGUGAUCGGCCACACUGGAACUGAGACACGGUCCAGACUCCUACGGGAGGCAGCAGUAGGGAAUCUUCCGCAAUGGGCGAAAGCCUGACGGAGGAACGCCGCGUGAGUGAUGAAGGUCUUCGGAUCGUAAAACUCUGUUAUUAGGGAAGAACAAAUGUGUAAGUAACUGUGCACGUCUUGACGGUACCUAAUCAGAAAGCCACGGCUAACUACGUG
rnacentral:rRNA from 1 species